AUUGAACGCUGGCGGCAGGCCUAACACAUGCAAGUCGAGCGGAGCGGCGGACGGGUGAGUAAUGCCUAGGAAUCUGCCUGGUCGUGGGGGAUAACGUACGGAAACGGGCGCUAAUACCGCAUACUAUCAGAUGAGCCUAGGUCGGACUAGCUAGUGGGUGGGGGAAAGGCCUACCAAGGCGACGAUCCGUAACUGGUCUGAGAGGAUGAUCAGUCACACUGGAACUGAGACACGGUCCAGACUCCUACGGGAGGCAGCAGUGGGGAAUAUUGGACAAUGGGCGAAAGCCUGAUCCAGCCAUGCCGCGUGUGUGAAGAAGGUCUUCGGAUUGUAAAGCACUUUCAGCGGGGAGGCGUUACCCGCAGAAGAAGCACCGGCUAACUCCGUGCCAGCAGCCGCGGUAAUUC
rnacentral:rRNA from 1 species